rnacentral:rRNA from 1 species
GCGUGCUUAACACAUGCAAGUCGAACGAUGAAACCUAGCUUGCUAGGUGGAUUAGUGGCGCACGGGUGAGUAAUAUAUAGGUAACGUGCCUCUUAGUCUGGGAUAGCCAUUGGAAACGAUGAUUAAUACUGGAUACUCCUUCUAACUCUAAUGUUAGUCGGGAAAGUUUUUCGCUAAGAGAUCGGCCUAUUUCCCAUCAGCUUGUUGGUAGUGUAAGAGACUACCAAGGCUAUGACGGGUAGCGGGUUUGAGAGGAUGAUCCGCCACACUGGUACUGAGACACGGACCAGACUCCUACGGGAGGCAGCAGUGAGGAAUAUUGCACAAUGGAGGAAACUCUGAUGCAGCAACGCCGCGUGGAGGAUGACGCAUUUCGGUGUGUAAACUCCUUUUAUAUGUCAAGAAAAUGACGGUAGCAUAUGAAUAAGCACCGGCUAACUCCGUGCCAGCAGCCGCGGUAAUACGGAGGGUGCAAGCGUUAUUCGGAAUCACUGGGCGUAAAGGACGCGUAGGCGGGAUGCCAAGUCUGAUGUGAAAUCCUAUGGCUCAACCAUAGAACUGCAUUGGAAACUGGUAACCUAGAGUAUGGGAGGGGGGAGAUGGAAUUAGUGGUGUAGGGGGUAAAAUCCGUAGAUAUCACUAGGAAUACCGAAAGCGAAGGCGAUCUCCUGGAACAAUACUGACGCUAAGGCGUGAAAGCGUGGGGAGCAAACGGGAUUAGAUACCCCGGUAGUCCACGCCCUAAAC